rnacentral:rRNA from 1 species
GAUGAACGCUGGCGGCGUGCCUAAUACAUGCAAGUCGAGCGAACGGACGAGAAGCUUGCUUCUCUGAUGUUAGCGGCGGACGGGUGAGUAACACGUGGAUAACCUACCUAUAAGACUGGGAUAACUUCGGGAAACCGGAGCUAAUACCGGAUAAUAUUUUGAACCGCAUGGUUCAAAAGUGAAAGACGGUCUUGCUGUCACUUAUAGAUGGAUCCGCGCUGCAUUAGCUAGUUGGUAAGGUAACGGCUUACCAAGGCAACGAUGCAUAGCCGACCUGAGAGGGUGAUCGGCCACACUGGAACUGAGACACGGUCCAGACUCCUACGGGAGGCAGCAGUAGGGAAUCUUCCGCAAUGGGCGAAAGCCUGACGGAGCAACGCCGCGUGAGUGAUGAAGGUCUUCGGAUCGUAAAACUCUGUUAUUAGGGAAGAACAUAUGUGUAAGUAACUGUGCACAUCUUGACGGUACCUAAUCAGAAAGCCACGGCUAACGACG